UCCGACUGAAAAUGAGCUCAGAUUUAACAGUGAUCUGGGGUCAGAUAACUGAGCCUAAAGUAUUGUGGUAUGUUUAGCUUAUCACCUGCACACACAUUUGCAGAGUGAUAAAACCCAUGUGCCAACAAAA